rnacentral:rRNA from 2 species
UACGGAGGGUGCAAGCGUUAAUCGGAAUUACUGGGCGUAAAGCGCACGCAGGCGGUCUGUCAAGUCGGAUGUGAAAUCCCCGGGCUCAACCUGGGAACUGCAUUCGAAACUGGCAGGCUAGAGUCUUGUAGAGGGGGGUAGAAUUCCAGGUGUAGCGGUGAAAUGCGUAGAGAUCUGGAGGAAUACCGGUGGCGAAGGCGGCCCCCUGGACAAAGACUGACGCUCAGGUGCGAAAGCGUGGGGAGCAAACAGGAUUAGAUACCCCCGUAGUCC